GAUGAAGAACGUAGCGAAAUGCGAAAGUAAUGUGAAUUGCAGAAUUCAGUGAAUCAUCGAGUCUUUGAACGCACAUUGCGCCCCCUGGUAUUCCGGGGGGCAUGCCUGUCCGAGCGUCAUUGCCGCCCUCAAGCACGGCUUGUGUGUUGGGCCCCCGCCCCCCGGCUUCGGGGGGCGGGCCCGAAAGGCAGCGGCGGCACCGCGUCCGGUCCUCGAGCGUAUGGGGCUUCGUCACCCGCUCUGUAGGCCCGGCCGGCGCCCGCCGGCGACCCCAAUCAAUCUUUCCAGGUUGACCUCGGAUCAGGUAGGGAUACCCGCUGAACUUAAGCAUAUCAAUAAGCGGAGGA
rnacentral:misc_RNA from 1 species